rnacentral:tRNA from 1 species
GGGCCGUUAGCUCAGCCGGUAGAGCAGCGGACUUUUAAUCCGUUGGUCACUGGUUCGAAUCCAGUACGGCCCA